UUCCUACGGGAGGCAGCAGGGGGGAAUCUUGCGCAAUGGGCAGAAGCCUGACGCAGCGACGCCGCGUGCGGGACGAAGGCCUUCGGGUCGUAAACCGCUUUCCGCAGGGACGAGGACCUCACGGUGACGGUACCUGCAGAAGAAGCCCCGGCUAACUACGUGCCAGCAGCCGCGGUAAUACGUAGGGGGCGAGCGUUAUCCGGAUUCAUUGGGCGUAAAGCGCGCGUAGGCGGCCUGUUAGGUCGGGGGUCGAGUACCGAGGCUC
rnacentral:rRNA from 1 species